rnacentral:rRNA from 1 species
GACGAACGCUGGCGGCGUGCUUAACACAUGCAAGUCGAACGGAAAGGCCCUGCUUUUGUGGGGUGCUCGAGUGGCGAACGGGUGAGUAACACGUGAGUAACCUGCCCUUGACUUUGGGAUAACUUCAGGAAACUGGGGCUAAUACCGGAUAGGAGCUCCUGCUGCAUGGUGGGGGUUGGAAAGUUUCGGCUGUUGGGGAUGGACUCGCGGCUUAUCAGCUUGUUGGUGGGGUAGUGGCUUACCAAGGCUUUGACGGGUAGCCGGCCUGCGAGGGUGACCGGCCCCAUUGGGACUGAGGUACGGCCCCGACUCCUACGGGAGGCAGGAGUGGGGAAUAUUGCACCAUGGGCGGAAGCCUGAUGCAGCAACGCCGCGUGCGGGAGGACGGCCUUCGGGUUGUAAACCGCUUUCGCCUGUGACGAAGCGUGAGUGACGGUAAUGGGUAAAGAAGCACCGGCUAACUACGUG